rnacentral:rRNA from 1 species
AUACGUAGGGUGCAAGCGUUAAUCGGAAUUACUGGGCGUAAAGCGUGCGCAGGCGGUUUUGUAAGACAGUGGUGAAAUCCCCGGGCUCAACCUGGGAACUGCCAUUGUGACUGCAAGGCUGGAGUGCGGCAGAGGGGGAUGGAAUUCCGCGUGUAGCAGCGAAAUGCGUAGAUAUGCGGAGGAACACCGAUGGCGAAGGCAAUCCCCUGGGCCUGCACUGACGCUCAUGCACGAAAGCGUGGGGAGCAAACAGGAUUAGAUACCCUGGUAGUCCACGCCCUAAACGAUGUCAACUGGUUGUUGGGGAUUUAUUUUCUCAGUAACGAAGCUAACGCGUGAAGUUGACCGCCUGGGGAGUACGGCCGCAGGGUUAAAACUCAAAUGAAUUGACGGGG